rnacentral:rRNA from 1 species
AMUARCUGUUGCAGUUAAAGCUCGUAGUUGGAUUUCGGGUGGGUUCUAGCGGUCCGCCUAUGGUGAGUACUGCUAUGGCCUUCCUUUCUGUCGGGGACGGGCUUCUGGGCUUAAUUGUCCGGGACUCGGAGUCGACGUGGUUACUUUGAGUAAAUUAGAGUGUUCAAAGCAGGCUUACGCCCUGAAUACUUUAGCAUGGAAUAACACGAUAGGACUCUGGCCUAUCUUGUUGGUCUGUAGGACUGGAGUAAUGAUUAAGAGGGACAGUCGGGGGCAUUCGUAUUUCAUUGUCAGAGGUGAAAUUCUUGGAUUUAUGAAAGACGAACUACUGCGAAAGCAUUUGCCAAGGAUGUUUUCAUUAAUCAAGAACGAAAGUUGGGGGCUCGAAGA